rnacentral:rRNA from 1 species
UACGGGGGGAGCAAGCGUUGUUCGGAUUUACUGGGCGUAAAGGGCGCGUAGGCGGCCACCGCAAGUCAAUUGUGAAAUCUCCGGGCUUAACUCGGAAAGGUCAACUGAUACUGCGGGGCUAGAGUGCGGAAGGGGCAACUGGAAUUCUCGGUGUAGCGGUGAAAUGCGUAGAUAUCGAGAGGAACACCUGCGGCGAAGGCGGGUUGCUGGGCUGACACGUGACGCUGAGGCGCGAAAGCUAGGGGAGCGAACGGG